rnacentral:lncRNA from 1 species
AAAAAAGUAAAUUUCUGGGAAUUAUUUGAAGCAUUUUUCCUCUUCAUAACUGGGCAAUUUCCUUGAGCUUUGUCCCCAGAAUCUCAGCAUCAGAUUGUCUUGACAUCUCUGUUAUUCUGGAUACUGUGAAGCACAGCUGUACAUUGAAAAUGGAAAUCUUCUCCACAAUUAUUAGGAUCUGAAGAAAUUCAGGAACUCUGGCUCUUGGUGCUGGUGUGGAUGUGAUGAGGGGAAGAACCUUCUGAGUCCUGGCAGCAUGAAUGCUAUGUAGAAAUUUCAGCUCUACAUCUCCUGGAGCAGAGUGACCUUUAAGGAGCUAUGGAGACUAGUGGGGCAGACAGAACAAUGUUCUGGAGAAACCCUUUCAUGCCAGCACUUGCAUCAGUGUUAUAACAAUCUCUUGGACUUCUUUGACAAGAAAGUGGACUAUAGCAUCUUCUCAAGCUAACCUGAAUCUUGUGUGACAUCAUGGCUUCAGUUUUCCCAAGAAAUUUUUGCAUCCAACAUUAAUGGUGUCUGAACUGAACGUCAUGAUAGCAGAGCACAACUUAGUUGACUGAAGAUAAAAUCAAAGUUCUUGA